GCGCGAGUGGUGCGCACGCGUCGUACGCAUGGAGGAGCGCGCGGCUGCGGUGGCGACAACUGCGCACGCCCGGAGGAGGGCGGGGCGGGGCCGUCUACAAAGAGCAAGACUGACAUCACUGCGCGCGUGCCCGGGAGAUUGUGAAGUGUGGAGUGACCCUUGAUGACUCCAACCUGCGUUUGCGCCGGAAGUCCGCGGCCCCUCCCAGAUAAGGGUAUUUACGACGGCUUCCCGGGGCCGGUGGCUUCCGGGGCAAGCGGGACCCCGUGUCUGGCGGGCCCUGCUCUCCCGCGCGGUAGCUAGCGCCAGGCACCCCAAGGGGACCGCUCGGCCCCCUGGGCGCGCUCGGGGGGGACCAGCGCGCUGCCGCUGCCGUCGCCGCCUCCUAGCGGUGGAGGGGCCGCACCCGCCUCGCCUCUGCUGGGACCCUCGGAGUGGGAGGAGGACUGCCUGACGGCUAGGGCCAAGGCCCCGCCGGCCAGCCGCCCCCCUGUCACCCUGCAGGCCACGGAAGGACGCGGCUCGCGGACGCCCCAGGAGGAGGGGCGAAGGCUGGGACCUCGUCGGCAGCGCGGGUCGUCCCGGCAGCCACCGUCAGUGCGGUUGCCCCAGGACUGGCUCUGCGGAGGUCAGCAGUACUCGAGGGGCAGUUUGGUUCCUUGGUGAGAUGAUGCUCCUGCCUAGGGGAGCCCUCUUUUCCCCCAGGAGGCGACUGCCGCCACUUAAGAGGGCAUCCGUCCUCUUAAGCAUGCUGUCGCUUGGGGUGGUUUCAGUCCCUUGUCAAAGAUGGUGACCAACCAGGUCAGUAGUUCCUGGAGUCCACGGUAACUGAAGAAGGAGGUGGCUCAGAAGAGAGAGAAAAGGCAAAUGGAGUUGGUUAGGUCAGUAACUGGACCCUCUACACUCUGGAGAGAUUUGAGCAGUUUGUUAAAGUGCUGAACAUAGACCUCUCCUGUAACCUAGCCAUUCCACACCUGCUCUUUGCCCAACAGGAAAGAGUAUGUGCCCUUAAAAAGAGCUGUGCUAAUGGCCCAAACUGGAAAUGAUCCACAUGUCCAUCAAUAGGUCAGUCAGUAAACCAAUCGUGAUAGAUCCAUGGAAUGAAAUAUCUCCCAGGGAUAAAAAAGCGCAAGUUUGACGUAUCCAACAGCACGAAUAAAUCCCAUGGACAUGCUAAGUGGAAGAUAUCAGUAUAGAAAAUACAAACGAUAUGACAGAAAGUAUAUGACCAGUGGUUGCUGGGGAAUGGAUGGGUCUGGGAGGGAAGGAAGGGUUACAAAGAGACACAGGAAAUUUUGCAGGGGUUUGGAUAUUAUCUUGAUUGAGGUGAUGAUUUCACUUGUAUCUGCAUUGUCAAGUUUGUCAAAUUAGAUGAACUUGUAGUUACUCUUAUGUCAAUCAUAUGUCAAUGUAAAGUUCUUUAAAACUUCCAUUCUUACUUCCUUAGGGGAAAGAUCUCAAGACAAUUCUAAGUGCGAAUCCUUCAAAACUUUCCCCUAGAGAAUGUAUAUCUGUAUGUAAUAGGAAUUACAUGAUACAUGUUGUUAAAUACAUAUACAUAUUGUUCUGCAUCUCCUUUAAAAUUCUUUUAUGUAAAUUUUCAUCAGUGUCAAUAUUUACAGGUAUAGGAUUCUGUAGAAGGAAUGUACCAUAAUUUAAUCCUUUCUCUGCUUCACAACAUUUAAGUUGAAUGCUGCACAUUCACAUUUGGAAUUUUUAAACAUAAUACCAAUAUACUCCAUGCAGGUUGUACUAUUUUAAUUUCUCUAAGCAUCUUUUAAUAUUUUUUUUUAUUUUUACACAAUACCUUUUUAUUUAUUUAUUUUUAAUGUGGUGCUGAGUAACGAACCCAGAACCUCACACAUGCUAGGCAAGCGCUGUACCACUGAGUCACAACCCCAGCCCUCUGAGCAUCUUUUUAUUUGUUAGCCACUUGGAUUUCUGUAAAUUACCUCUUAAUAUCAUUUGCCCAUUUCCCAUUGAGUUAUCUUCCUUUCUUCCUUCCCUUCUUAUUUCUCGUAUAAGAAGGUUUUCAAAAUAUGAGAUAUCUAGGUCUGAGGACAUUUUUGUCCUUUUGAGAAUAAACUACAAUUUUUCAAGUAGAAGGAUACUGGUCUGCCAAUAAGUGAACAAUACUUGAUCAAAUGCCUCCUGUGUGCCAGGCUAUGGGAAGAUGACAGUGGACAGAAAAGAACCUCAUAUAAUCUGGUGAGGACAGUCAUUAAACAACGGUGAUGAAUAGAAUUGAAUGAAUUAAUCUUGUGAUAAUCAGCUUUCUAUUACUGUGACAAAAAUACUUGAGAAAAACAAGGAUUUACUUUGGCUCAUGGUUUCAUAGGUUUUGGUUCAUGAUCACUCCAUGCAUUGUUUCUGGGCCUGUGUUGAGAUAGAACAUCAUAUAGGGAAGGCAUGCUCCCCUCAUGGUAGCCAGAAUCAGAGCGUAAGGGGCAAGAUAUACCCUGUUUCCUCCACGAGGCCCAACCUCCUGAAGUCUCCACUGCUUCCCCAAUAGCACCUCUGUCCAAGCCUCUAAAAGGUGCGCCUUGGGGACAUUCCAGAUCCAAACUGCUGCGACCAAGAAGGUGCAGAGUUCUGAGUCCCCCCCCCCCCAGCCUUCUGACUAGAGACCUAGUGAUGAGUGGCCUUCCUGUGAGCAGAUGGUGUGUCUGCUGAGAGAUACUUGAUGUGUGAACUGGUAGAGAGAUGAAGACUAUCUGUAGCAAGGAAUCAACACGCGCCAAAAAGCCUUCCCAGCGUCAUAUCCUAAAGCCAUGCUUGUUCAAAUGCUGGACAUCAAGGCGGGAGUGUAAAUGAAAAAAUGUUGGAUUUGGCACUGGCCCCCUCAGUGGGCUAUGGAGCCACAAAUGCUGAGAGCAAGGAAGGAGACUGCCUCUUUCUCCCUCACAUUUUUCAGGUCACCCUCAGCAUCACAUGCUGAGGUUGCCUUGGCACUGGACAAGGCACUGUCUCCCUUGCUGUGCCUGCAGUUUGUCUUUCCUAGGUGCCCCAGGGAGUGGGUGGAUCCUCCCACCUGCUGAGUCUCACAUCUGAGGGGUCGGAAGAGCUAAGUGAGCAUUGCCACUCUGCGCCUGCCAAAGUUGGCAUGCGUUUAGCAGGAUCACACUCCCUGCCAUAUGUUCAUGCACACUGGUAAAGGUUUUAUGUGCAUUCUCUUCGUGAUCCUUGAAACACAUUAAAUAGAAACAUCCUUGACUUAAAUCCUCUCAAUUUGGAAUGAAAAUAGAAGUGAGAAUGAGAACUGGUCUUCCUCACCUCCCAGUUCGACCUUGCUCACUUCCCUAGGAUGUCCAGUCCAGGGAAGCUUCCCAGCUCAGCUGUUCCCAUGGGCCAGAAUGUCAAAAGAAAAGCUUUGGGCAAGAAAGCCACAGCCCAAUUCUGGCAGGAAUUUUGGCUAAUAAAACCAAGAUACAUCCUAUUGUGUAAACUGGUGAGUGCUGUAGAAAAUGUCAGCUGUACACCAGCCUUUGAAAAUGGAAUUCAUCUCGGUGACAAUAACUUUGACCUUCGGGUUCAAGGAGCUUCCGACCCACAGCUCAUGACUUGAAACCUUGAGUCAUCUCUUGCCUGUUUCCAGCCUUCCUUUACCACCCUUCCAACGAGCCUUGGCUGUGGGUGGAAUGUGAAUUGUUCCCCUCAACCUCAUGCUGGGGGUUAGUGCCAUUGUGAACUAUUUAGAGAUGAUUAGAGGUAGCACCUUGAGGGAAAGAGUAGGAUCCCAUGGAGUCAUUAGGGUGGAGAACUGAAUGCUGAAUGCUGGUGACCCUAAGAAGGAGACCUGAGAGACACCAAGAUGCAUGCACUACUUGUCUCCCAACUCGUGGUGCCCUGUGCCCUCAGGACCCACCAGGAGACUCACAGAUAUAGCCCCUUCACCCUUGACCAGAACUGUGAACCAAAGCAAACCUCGUUUCUUUAAAACUCACCCAGUCUGUGGCAUUAAUAGCAAAAAAAAAAAAAAAGGACUAACACAUCUGUGUAUUAGACCCUUAGGAUUGCUGUAACAAAGUACCAGAACUGGGUGGCUUGGAACUUAUGAAAAUGUUGGCAGGACCCACACUCCCUUUGAGGCUCUGAAUAGUCUCUUUCUAUUCCUGCUCCUGGCUUCUGGCGACAGCUGCCAUCAUCAGCAUUGCUCAGCUCACAACUGUGUCACUGCAGUCUUCCUCUUUCUCCCUUACAUGAGGUGGAUUAAGAGCCCUCCUAAAUCCUGGAUGACAUCUUAGCUAUUUACAUACGCAAUGACUCCACUUCCAAAUAAGGUCACA
rnacentral:lncRNA from 1 species